rnacentral:snRNA from 1 species
GGUUCUGAAGGGAUUCUGAUUGUAACAUCUGUCACCUCCCUGCGUUCCAGGGACCACCUGAGCUAAUCUGGUUGGCUAGGAAGGUGUCUUCGUCCUCUCUUUCCUUCCACCGUAACCUUAAGCUGGGAAGCUGUGUGCUCAGUGAAAGAAGAAAAGCCUCUACCUCUUUGGUAUCAGAGGAUCUUUCUUCAGUCAAAUGUCAACAGGUAACCUCACUUGCCUGCUGGAUCUGCAAACAGGAUCUUAAGAUCUUACACUCCUCAGAGAAUGCCAGUUAUACAUAGCAGAUCUCAGCUAAAAGGCACUGCAUGCCUCCAUGG